rnacentral:rRNA from 1 species
GACAGAGGAUGCAAGCGUUAUCCGGAAUGAUUGGGCGUAAAGCGUCUGUAGGUGGCUUUUUAAGUCCGCCGUCAAAUCCCAGGGCUCAACCCUGGACAGGCGGUGGAAACUACCAAGCUGGAGUAUGGUAGGGGUAGAGGGAAUUUCCAGUGGAGCGGUGAAAUGCGUAGAUAUUGGAAAGACCACCAAGGCGAAGGCACUCUACUGGGCCAUUACUGACACUGAGAGACGAAAGCUAGGGGAGCGAAUGGG